UGCCGGUCUUAAGCCGGAGGAAGUGGGGAUGAUGUCAAGUCAGCAUGGCCUUUAUAUCCUGGGCUACACACACGCUACAAUGGCCAACACAAUAGGUUGCUAAGCCGCGAGGUGGCGCCAAUCCAUAAAGUUGGUCUCAGUUCAGAUUGUAGGCUGCAACCCGCCUGCAUGAAGAUGGAGUUGCUAGUAACCGCAGGUCAGCUAUACUGCGGUGAAUACGUUCCCGGGGCUU
rnacentral:rRNA from 1 species